UACGGAGGGUGCUAGCGUUGUUCGGAAUCACUGGGCGUAAAGGGCGUGUAGGCGGUCUGUUAAGUCUGAUGUGAAAUCCCCUCGCUCAACGAGGGAACUGCGUCAGAUACUGGCAGACUCGAGUACCGGAGAGGAAGGUGGUAUUCCCGGUGUAGCGGUGAAAUGCGUAGAUAUCGGGAGGAACACCGGUGGCGAAGGCGGCCUUCUGGACGGAUACUGACGCUGAGACGCGAAAGCGUGGGGAGCAAACAGG
rnacentral:rRNA from 1 species